UUUCACAGGUUCCUUAGGACAAUCCUGAGAGGUAAGAAUAUUAUUCUUCCUGCUUUCAUUGCCUGCAGAGGUCGUGCCCCUAGGAGCAGCAGAAUUGGAGCUUCGGUUCGCACACUUGAUUCACUAUUUCUCCCUCUUGGAUCUUGUCUUCCCAAAACCUUGCAGGGUCGUGUGGGAAAGACAAUAUAUCUUCUUAUGCUGAGGAUGGAGCAAAACUCGGAGGGAAGAGCCGGGAGAACACAGAGCAGAGGAGAUGAGCCAGGUGGACUCUGCCUGAGGCCACACUGCAGAGACCUCUUUGAGUGAAGGACACCAACAGAUACAACAGGUGGUAAAGAAGACAAAAAUUUAAAGAGAUGAUGAUAGAAAACAAGAAGAAACACAGCAUGGAGGUUUGGAGGCUUGGUACGCCCUGAAGUCUCCCCUGGGUUUCUCCCACGGAAUGCCGAUUGUGCCAGAGCCAGAUGGCCUCCUCCACAAUUACAAGAGCCUUAUUCUAUUCCAGUCUCUCCUCCUGCCUGGAAAUUCUAACUACAUGUAAGCCUGUUCACAAGCAGUGGGUCCAGAACAGGCCCUGCACUUUCUGAGUAUUGACUGCCAGACUAAGUGAAGAGAAGGUCAGUUUCUCAGCAGGCCCGAGCCUGUCUCGAGUCUAGACCUGCCCAUCUCUUCUGUGAGUAUCUUGAAUAUUCACUGGUAUCGAGAUGCCUUAACCUAUUACCUGAGGACUUUGUGUGUGUGUAUUUUCUUGUGACCCUAUGGCCCUUCUUCCAUUUUGCUCCUAGACAAUGAGCCAUCUACUGGCUCAGAGUUUAAAAAAAAAAAAAAAAGAAGUGUUUUUCUGACUUAAGUUCAAAUAUAUAAAGCCUACAGGGAACAAGGCAUUCUCAGGAGAAUAGAUUUGAGAGGAUACGCAAUGACGCAGGAACAACAUUUCCCACUGCAAAGGAUCAUUUGAUGGGUCAAGAGCAGUAAGCGUCCCUGACUAUCAGAGGGGAUAUAAAAAACACGAGCUGCUGGUUUGUUUUGGAUGGGAGACAACAGCAAUCUCAGGGAAGUAGAGAUUGCUGCCCUUAGUCGCACUGAAAGCUUGAAGAGGCUUCAAGAUGUCAGAAUAGAAAUGGCUUUGGGGUGUGGCUACGGAGUUUGUCUAGAUGCAUGGGCCUGAGGCUGCCUCUGGAAUGCCCCCAGCCCAACUUGAUGGGCACCUAGGGAAUGAUUCCAGUAUGCUCAUGAAGAGCACAGAAUUGCUGAGGGCCCUUGGAUAGCCCCUCAAACUCCACCCCAGGACCAGUGACAUGCAAGGGCCUAGGAAGAACUUUGUCAGCAAGGAUAGUCAUUGGACCAGAAGGAGCCCUUUGGAUGGUUGCAAGAUGCAUCCAAGCAGCAGUCUGAGUACUUCAAUCCCUGCAGGCCAAUGGGACAACAGAUCUCAGUAGAUGCCAACCUGGAUACCUGUCUAUUUUUCCUAGCAUCUUGGCAUCU
rnacentral:lncRNA from 1 species